rnacentral:rRNA from 1 species
AGAGUUUGAUCCUGGCUCAGGAUGAACGCUAGCGGCAGGCUUAACACAUGCAAGUCGAGGGGCAGCAAGGGUAGCAAUACCUGUUGGCGACCGGCAAACGGGUGCGGAACACGUACAGAACCUACCUUGAUCUGGGGCAUAGCCCGGAGAAAUCCGGAUUAACUCCCCAUAAUAUAUUUGAGAGGCAUCUUUUGGAUAUUAAAAAUUUAUUGGAUCGAGAUGGCUGUGCGUCCCAUUAGCUAGUUGGUAGGGUAACGGCCUACCAAGGCAACGAUGGGUAGCUGGUGUGAGAGCACGACCAGCCACACGGGCACUGAGACACGGGCCCGACUCCUACGGGAGGCAGCAGUGAGGAAUAUUGGUCAAUGGACGCAAGUCUGAACCAGCCAUGCCGCGUGAAGGAUGAAGGCCUUCUGGGUUGUAAACUUCUUUUACCUGGGAAGAAACCCCAAUAUUCUUAUUGGGUUGACGGUACCAGAGGAAUAAGCACCGGCUAACUCCGUGCCAGCAGCCGCGGUAAUACGGAGGGUGCAAGCGUUAUCCGGAUUUACUGGGUUUAAAGGGUGUGUAGGCGGGCUUUUAAGUCAGUGGUGAAAUCUUCGGGCUCAACCCGGAAACUGCCAUUGAUACUAUUAGUCUUG